rnacentral:rRNA from 1 species
UACAGAGACUGCAAGCGUUAAUCGGAAUUACUGGGCGUAAAGCGUGCGCAGGCGGUUUUGUAAGUCUGUCGUGAAAUCCCCGGGCUUAACCUGGGAAUGGCGAUGGAGACUGCAAGGCUAGAGUUUGGCAGAGGGGGGUAGAAUUCCACGUGUAGCAGUGAAAUGCGUAGAGAUGUGGAGGAACACCGAUGGCGAAGGCAGCCCCCUGGGUCAAAACUGACGCUCAUGCACGAAAGCGUGGGGAGCAAACAGG